CGCGUGCAGGAUGAAGGCCUUCGGGUUGUAAACUGCUUUUGUACGGAACGAAAAGACUCUUUCUAAUAAAGAGGGUCCAUGACGGUACCGUAAGAAUAAGCACCGGCUAACUACGUGCCAGCAGCCGCGGUAAUACGUAGGGUGCGAGCGUUAAUCGGAAUUACUGGGCGUAAAGCGUGCGCAGGCGGUUAUGCAAGACAGAUGUGAAAUCCCCGGGCUCAACCUGGGAACUGCAUUUGUGACUGCAUAGCUAGAGUACGGUAGAGGGGGAUGGAAUUCCGCGUGUAGCAGUGAAAUGCGUAGAUAUGCGGAGGAACACCGAUGGCGAAGGCAAUCCCCUGGACCUGUACUGACGCUCAUGCACGAAAGCGUGGGGAGCAAACAGGAUUAGAUACCCUGGUAGUCCACGCCCUAAACGAUGUCAACUGGUUGUUGGGUCUUCACUGACUCAGUAACGAAGCUAA
rnacentral:rRNA from 1 species